rnacentral:lncRNA from 1 species
AGCUUUCCAUCUUAAUAACAUUUGGAAGUUAUUAGAGAUGAGCUUCGUUAGUAAAUAUUGUAAAUUAAAUCGACACCUGAAGGCUACCUCUAAUUCUGUUGUGUCUGUCCUGACACCAUGUUCCGCCGAAGUAACAGUUAAACCUAAAGCAGUUGUAUUAAUACAACCGCAACCUUCUCCUGUUUUUCCCCGAAAUGGAGCUAUGGCAAUAUCUGGAGCUGUUACAGGUAAAUACUUCAAAAGUUUAUUUUCCUCUCUUUCUUGUCGCAUUGUUACUUUGUGAAAUAAAUAUAUAUAUACUGAGAGAGAUAUUUUUAUCGGUGCAUAUCUACUAGGAUUAAAAAUUUAAAAUCCAGGCAGUGACCUUGAAAUAAUCUCAUUUGGUCAUUUUGGUUAAAAUAAGUUAAAGAUACAAUAAUUUGAAUGCUGCAAAACCAUUGAAAGGCUGGAUUCUGCUUUUCACGGAAUUGUCAAAUGUGAUACCAUUCGAUAGAUCUCAUCAAGCUGGUCAGAAAUU